GACGAACGCUGGCGGCGUGCUUAACACAUGCAAGUCGAACGGAAAGGCCCUGCUUUUGUGGGGUGCUCGAGUGGCGAACGGGUGAGUAACACGUGAGUAACCUGCCCUUGACUUUGGGAUAACUUCAGGAAACUGGGGCUAAUACCGGAUAGGAGCUCCUGCUGCAUGGUGGGGGUUGGAAAGUUUCGGCGGUUGGGGAUGGACUCGCGGCUUAUCAGCUUGUUGGUGGGGUAGUGGCUUACCAAGGCUUUGACGGGUAGCCGGCCUGAGAGGGUGACCGGGCCAAAUGGGAACUGGAGAAGGCCCAGAAUCCUACGGGAGGGCGCAGGGGGGAAUAGUGGAACAUGGGGGCAAGCCUGGGGGGGGCACGCCGGGUGGGGGAUGAAGGGCUUUGGGUUGUAAAACGGUUUCAGCAGGGACGAAGCUGUUAGUGACGGUACCUGGUGAAGAAGCACCGGCUAACUACGUG
rnacentral:rRNA from 1 species